UGCUUAAUGACAGAUCUUGAUCACGUGACCUGUCGAUAGCAAAAUACAUCUUUCUAGUUUUCGAAGCGUUAGCGAUCGUAGAAAGAGAAUUGAAGUGCUACUUGGUCAGGGGGGCAGCAAAUAUUAAGACCUGCAGGGCCAUUAUGUAACUCGGUGAAUGCUUUAAAAUCACAGUCACGACAACAAAUGGCAGCGAUUUUUCGUUUUUGCGAUCAUGUAACAUAGAUCUUCCACCGAAAUGACGUCAUCUUGGAUCGUUCUCUGUCACGGUCACUUGUAGGGAUUUAUUCAAGUUUUAGGCCUGUUUUUACGUAUCGAUAGUCAGUUUAAGCGAUUAUGUAAGCAUUGUGAUCAUAGAAAUAGGUGACACUGAAGUUGUCAAAGUCAAUCGCUAUAGAAACUAAUAGAGAGCAGUGUUUUAACAAAGUUUACUUGACGCCUGUGAUUCAUUAUUUACAAAUAAAAGGACUUUUAGGAUUUUUUUGAAUUUUGUACUAUAAAGUGUUUACUGACAUCGCCGUGUCCUACAUGCAUUUGUAUUGUACGCGGAAACGGAUCUAAAAGGAUGACUUUGCAUGCUGAGAUCCACAGAGAUCUAAGUGAUCCAUUACAGCUUUGUGAGACCGAGUUCAUUGCAAAACUUUCGUGUCGCGAUACCAGCAGGUUUUAGAAGAAAUACAAAGUCUUCGAACAACUGCUGUUCGCAAUAAACUAGAGGUCUUGGCAGCUUUAAGCAUUUAUGCCAAUGGAUCAUACAAAUGUCUCUAUGAUGGCUAAGGCAUCUUUUACCAAAUGCCUACAUGAGUCACUGACGCUCCUGAAUACCCCAGCUGUUUAAAAAAAAUGUGUUAAGUUCCCUUUGCAUUAAACACAAAAUCAUUAUAAAUAAAUAUGUGAUGCCAAUCUAAUAAUAACAUAGUGGAUGCUCAAUUUGGUGGUGUAUCAUAUGACUUGUACAUGUGGAACCAGUGCAAUAAAACCACUUGAGGAAAACCUGCCCAAUAGAGACUGCUGUUGGUUGUUAGGUGACCAAUGUUUGCAUGAUGACCCCCAUCUUGGGAGCUGCUCCUAGAUCCCAUUAAGAUAUGCACAACAUUGCUGUGUCAGAAAUACGGUGGAGCCUUGUAGUUGGGUGCAUAUUGUAAAAUGUUUCCUCACUCCAAAACCAUGAACUCUGGUUUCCUAAACCCUCAAGCUAUGCAGCCGAAGGAGGAGACUUAUCACAGGAGAAUCACUAAUAAUUUUGAAGAAGUGAAGAGCUUAACAAUGUUUCAACCAACACCUAAAGAAGCUUUCACUUGGCUGUUAGAUCAAGGGCUGGAUACAGAAAACAGUAAUCCUUGUGAUGGCAGUAUUGUCCAAGGAUUCCUCACUCAAAACCAUGAUAACAAGUUGCUAGAACCCUCAAGCUAUGCAGACAAAGGACUGGAUAUAUUUUUUCGUGACCAAGCCUUCUGUAUAAUUAUUUAUACUUAAACCAUACAAAGCACUAUCUAGCCCCAAAGUAGGCAUACAGAGUAGCUUGUGUUGUGGGUACUAAGAUAGUUGAUAUUAUAAUAUUCAUUUACAUUUUUACAUUUUGACGGCCGCGUGACGCAGUGGGUAGUGACCCUGCUUUCUGCAUCCACGGCCGUGGGUUCGAUUCCCACAACUGGAAAAUAUUUGUGUGAUGAGCAUGAGUGUAUUCCAGUGUCUGUGUGUAUUUAUACAUUAUAUAAGUAUUUAUAUGUAGUAUAUAAUUGUAUAUUAAUAUUAUAAUAUCAGCUAUCUUAGCACCCAUAACACAAGCUACUCUGUAUGCUUACUUUGGGGCUAGAUAGUGAUGUGUAUUGUUUAAGUAUAUUUAUUAUUUAUUUAUUUAUAUACUACCUAUAAAUACUUAUAUAAUGUAUAAAUACACACACACUGGAAAAAACCCAUGCUCUUCACACAAAUAUUUUCCAGGUGUGGGAAUCGAACCCAUGACCGUGGAUGCAGGAGCACUACUUACUGCGCCACGCGUAUGUGUUUUUAUUUUGAAGCAAAUUAUUAAAGUUGAUAAUUCAAAUUGUAGUCAUGUUUUUAAUUAAUCUAUAAUUAAUUUUUAAUUUACAUUUUUGUUAAAUAUUUACCUAUACUUCAGUCUAUUUUUGUUAGAGGGGGUACCUAUAUGUGUAAGUAGGGUCGUUUCUUGAUUAAAUUAAACUAAAGAAUGAAAGAUAUAUAUUUUAACAAAAUUUGUCAACAACAAUAUAUCAAGUCUGAAUAAAAAAUACCAACACAAGUAAAUAUAUUUUUUAUUUUUAAGUAAUAGAUGUUACACAAAUAUAGAGUAUCUACUUUAACUACCUGGCCCUACCUGCUUAACAUUAAACAACAUUGUUUUUAAUCAAAUCAUUAUUUAUUUAUUUCCUACAAUGUGGUAGGUACAUGUUUUGUUCUUAAAAUUAUUGAAUUGUAUAGAUAAACAACUAAUGUAGUAUGCAAUUUUUUCUUUUACAAUUACUUAAAUAAUCAUCAUCAUCAUCAUCAUCAUCAUCAUCAUCAUCAUCAUCAUUAUAAACACAUAUUCGGCUCACUGCUGAGCUCGAGUCUCCCCCAGUAAGAGGGGUUAGUGCCUACCCGCACUCGGGAGACCCCGCACUGGAAAGCGUGGUUGGUCGGUUGGUUGGAUGUUCGCGGCUCAAGGUCGUUGUGCUUGGAGGUCCAUGUAAGAGGUCUAUGUCCAGCAGUGGACGUCUAUCGGCUGAUAAGGUAAGGGAAGGCCAAUGCCUAACCCCUCUCAUUCUGACAGGAGCCUAAUAUGGGCCAGCAUAUUUGGAUUACAUUGGCAGACAUCACAUAUGCAGAGAAUUAAGAGAAUUCUCUGGUAUGCAGGUUUCCUCACGAUGUUUUCCUUCACUGUUUGAGACACGUCACAUUCACUGGGCUAUUAGGGAUAAUAAUAAUAGUUAAAUAAUAUUUCCUCCUAAUAAUAGAUAAUAAAACAUAUUUUGAUGUGCAAUUUUACAAUAAAAUUUUUAUCUAAUACUAUGUAAUACUGAAAUUAACCAAAUGAUAAUAAUCAUAUUCUUUAUAUACAGUGAUGUCAUAAUUAACUAUAUUAAAUUAAAAUGAAAUUAUA